AGUCUUCUGGGACGUUCGCCAGGUUGCGCUCUAUCCCUUGAGCCUUAAUUUGCGACACAGGGGACAACAAAACGGUUCUGUGUGCAUGUCCGCCCAAGCCUUGAGCUGGGCGGAAAGCCUGAUGAGCCAGGCGUUGUCCCCGACUUGAACCCUAUCGGUUCAAGGUCGUAGCGCCGCCAGCGGCGCCCUGGAAGACAC
rnacentral:other from 1 species